rnacentral:rRNA from 1 species
GGUCAAAACCAAUAUUACAGAGGCAACUGCCGUGCCCAGGUGAAGAAUUUAACGGCCGCGGUACCCUAACCGUGCAAAGGUAGCACAAUCACUUGUCUAUUAAUUGUAGACCUGUAUGAAAGGCUAAACGAGGGCCUAUCUGUCUCUUGUAGUAAAUCAAUUAAACUGAUCUCCCAGUCCAAAAGCUGGGAUACCAACAUAAGACCAGAAGACCCUGUGAAGCUUAAACUAAACUAUUAAAUCUCAUAAUGGCUCCUUUCGGUUGGGGCGACCUUGGAAAAAAAAAGAACUUCCAAACACACUGACUUUAGUCAUCCCAGGCUAACAAGCCUAACAACGACCCAGCACAGCUGACAAUUGAACCAAGUUACUCCAGGGAUAACAGCGCUAUCUUCUUCAAGAGCCCAUAUCAAAAAGAAGGUUUACGACCUCGAUGUUGGAUCAGGACAUCCUGAUGGUGCAUGACCGCUAUUAAGGGUUCGUUUGUUCAACGAUUAACAGUC